AACGAACGCUGGCGGCAGGCCUAACACAUGCAAGUCGAGCGAUCCCUUCGGGGAUAGCGGCGGACGGGUGAGUAACGCGUGGGAACGUACCCUUUGCUACGGAAUAGCCUCGGGAAACUGGGAGUAAUACCGUAUGUGCCCUUCGGGGGAGUAGAUUUAUUCGGCGAAAGGAAUCGGCCCGGCCGUUGGAUUAGGUAGUUGGUGGGGUAAGUGGCCUACCAAGCCGACGAUCCAUAGCUGGUUUGAGAGGAUGAUCAGCCACACUGGGACUGAGACACGGCCCAGACUCCUACGGGAGGCAGCAGU
rnacentral:rRNA from 1 species